AGACAACACCAGUGUGAGCAGCCUGAGUAACCCUGGUCCUGCUGCCCCACCCACCAAGAGGAUCGCCUUCCUGUUUGACUCCACCCUCACCGCCUUCCUCAUGAUGGGGAACCUCUCUCCAAACCUGAAGAGCCAUGCGGUCACCAUGUUUGAGGUGGGGAAGCUGUCAGACGAGACCCUGGACAGCUUUCUGAUGGAGCUGGAUAAAGUAGAGAGCACGGCGGAGGGCGAGGCCCAGAGGUAUUUUGACC